GACGAACGCUGGCGGCGUGCUUAACACAUGCAAGUCGAACGAAGUGGCGAACGGGUGAGUAACGCGUAAUCAACCUGCCCUUCAGAGGGGGACAACAGUUGGAAACGACUGCUAAUACCGCAUACUGAAGGAGGGGAUUGCGUCUGAUUAGCUAGUUGGAGGGGUAACGGCCCACCAAGGCGAUGAUCGGUAGCAGGUCUGAGAGGACGACCAGCCACACUGGGACUGAGACACGGCCCAGACUCCUACGGGAGGCAGCAGUGGGGAAUUUUGGACAAUGGGGGCAACCCUGAUCCAGCCAUGCCGCGUGUAUGAAGAAGGCCUUCGGGUUGUAAAGUACUUUCAGCGAGGAGCGUUACUCGCAGAAGAAGCACCGGCUAACUCCGUGCCAGCAGCCGCGGUAAUUAC
rnacentral:rRNA from 1 species